UGGUUUGCUGUGUUUGGGGCCUGCUGUCACAGCACUGGGAGCCUUGGAGAGAGAUGGGGAGCUGGGAUCCCCAGGAGGUGAGAGCCAGGACUGAGGGGGGGCCUUGGUCUGUGGUGGGAAUGCAGAGAGCUGGGAAGCUCACGCCUGACAAGCCCCCUUUCUUGGGGUAGAGUGGGUGGGACGGGGCAGCUGUGAGCUGGAGAGGAGAGGGUGUCGGUGAGGAGUGCUGCGAAGGAUGCCAGGUGGCACCGGGGGCUGGGCCACUGGAAACCGCUGAGCAGGCGGCAGGACUUCUCCCUCUCCCCUCGGCCGUUCUCGUGCCUCGGGCUCACUUCCUCGUGCAGUUUAUCCAUAUGGCUGAGACAGGAGCGUGGGGUUGGCGGGCGGGAGUUGGGGCUUGGCAAGACGGUCCAGGCUGAGCUGGCAAGAGAGAAAAGCCAGAGUGGCUGGUGGAUGCGGGGAGUCACAGCUCCGAGUGGGAGGAGGGCGCUGAGGGCUCUAGGAGAGGGUAUGGGCAGGUGUAUGAAUGUGCAGCCUCUGGAGUGGGUAGAGUGGUUUUCUGGAAUGCCCGGGGACUGGAUAAAAAGGUAGAGAUGUAAAGGCUUUUAAAGUUCUAGAGGCCACGGAGCUUUCCAGCCAGGACGGUGAACUUGGCCCUCAAGGGAGGGCAGCACAGAGAGGAAGGCCCUGAGCUGGAGAGAGAGGAGGCGGGUGGUGAUGGGGAGAGCCCGGCUGCUGCUCGGCCCAGAGGAGGAAGGGUACGUUCGGGAGAGGAUGAAGACUUGGGAGUGGUGUGUUUGCUGUAGACAAUUUCCAGAGCAAGAAGGCAGGCUGGGAGCAGGGGCCGGGGGUAAAAGGCAGAUAGCAAGGUAAGGAGGUGUGGGGGAAGACCAGCGGCUGUGCUCACCGUGGUUAGUGACACUGUCACCAUCCAGCCCCGGUCAGACAUGGUCCUAUAGCUGAGGGUCUCACCAGGCAGUGGGGGCACAGGUCAGGGGAAUGGGAUCGCCAGAGGAGCAUUCUCAAAAUGUGCCUGUGCAGGCAUCUCCCACCCCUGACAUUCUGCAUGGGAGGACCAGGGGGUGGCCACCCUACAUGCAGCAGACCCCUGGUGGUCAUUCUCCUCUCAGCCUCCCGUCCUCCCCUCCCCACCUCACCACCCCCAGUGGAUGUUUCUGAUGGCUGUGGCCUCUGCACAUGCCCUCCAGGCUGCCACACCACAGAUCUUUCUGGAAUAAAAGCUUGAUCUCACCUCUCCACCCCAGUACUCUGGUGGUGCCCUGUCACUAUCGGGAUGGAGUGGUGAGCAGGCCUUGUUACCCAGUUCCCCACCCCCACUGCUUAGAGCAAGUCUUGUAUUUCCCUGCUGCUGAGUGCAGAUCCUCCCCCUGCCACCCCAACGCCCAGUCUGCCCUGCCAACCCCAGCACGCUGUAACCGCCUUCUAGAAGGGCUUCCGGAACCCAUCCAGCUCCCUGGGGCAUGCGACCACCCCGGGGCCUCUCUGCUUCUACACAUGUCUACAAAGCCACUUUCUGACCUCACUGUCAGGUGACCGAUUUCUCUCUCAGCUCUUCCUAGCUCAGUGCCAGGCACCUAGGAGGCACUCAGGAGAAGGUUCCAGAAAGAACGGGUACACCUGAGUGCACAGACAAGUCCAGUGGCUCUCUUCCGUCGUGGUCCACUGUGCCAGCUCCAUUGUUCCAGGGCUGAGGCCUAGGGCGGUGGGGCUAUAUGGCAGGAGGAGUGUCUGCACUUUGGGCCUCUGCCUGGGAUUUAUUUGUGUCUCUGAGGCAUCCAGCAGACUCUUGGAGGACAGGAUGAGGUGUUCCCUGGCCUUUCCCAGCACGUAGGUGGGAGGCCUGGGCCCCUCAUGAAGAAAUCAGACUUGGCGUGGACUUGCAAGGAAGGUCCCCCAGCCGGAGGAGGCGUCAUCCCCUCCCUGGGGCUGAAUGCUGGGGCCACCUCUCCCCUCAUGCCUGCCAUCCACACCCCGCUCCAGGUCUGCUUUUAGGCCCCAGUCCCUGCCCCAUCUAGUGUGUUCUUCCAGCCUCCCUCCACCUACUCUCCCAGCACCUCUGUGAUGUUGUGAAAUAUCUAUUUGGUCUUUGUCCUUGUUUAGUGACAUACAACUCCUGAAAUCCUCAGAAUCUCCGUGGUGCUCUUUCUGUGCGCUGGUGUUGACUGAUAGCUUCCGGGUGGCGCUGGUCACUGGAAAGACCAAGGCAGGAUUAGCGGGUUAGAACUUUCAGCCCCACCCCCAACCGCGGGGAGGGGAGAGGUCCAGAGGUGGAAGGUCAAGUUGAUUGCCAGUGGGGUAAUCAGUUAUGCCUACUUAACAAGGGCUCCAUGUCAACCCUAGAAGACAGGACUUGGAGAGCUUCUGGACAGCUGAAUAGGAGGGAGUGCCUGGAGGGCAGCACCGUGUCCCUCUCCCGUACCUCACCCUAAAGGUCUCUUCAUCUGUGUCCUUUGUAACAACCUUUAUAAUAAACUAGUGAAUGUAAG
rnacentral:lncRNA from 1 species